AUUCCAGCUCCAAUAGCGUAUAUUUAAGUUGUUGCAGUUAAAAAGCUCGUAGUUGGAUUUUGGGUCGGGGGCACCGGUCCGCCGUUCCGGUGUGCACUGGUGGCCCCCUCCUUUCUGCCGGGGACGUGCGUCGCACUUAAUUGGGUGGCGUUCGGAGUCGGCGUUGUUACUUUGAAAAAAUUAGAGUGUUCAAAGCAAGCCAUCGCUCUGAAUACAUUAGCAUGGAAUAACAUGAUAGGACUCCGGUCUUAUUUUGUUGGUUUCCGAGACUGGAGUAAUGAUUAAGAGGGACAGUCGGGGGCAUCCGUAUUUCAUUGUCAGAGGUGAAAUUCUUGGAUUUAUGAAAGACGAACUUCUGCGAAAGCAUUUGCCAAGGAUGUUUUCAUUA
rnacentral:rRNA from 1 species